GUGUCAGCAGCCGCGGUAAUACGUAGGGUGCGAGCGUUGCCCGGAUUUAUUGGGCGUAAAGGGCGCGUAGGCGGUGAGAUGCGUCCGUUGUGAAAUCGCCCGGCUCAACUGGGCGGGGUCAGCGGAUACGGUCUCACUUGAGCAAGCUAGGGGGCAAUGGAAUUCCCGGUGUAGUGGUGGAAUGCGUAGAUAUCGGGAGGAACACCAGUGGCGAAGGCGGUUGCCUGGGGCUUUGCUGACGCUGAGGCGCGAAAGCGUGGGGAGCGAUCCGGAUUAGAUACCCGGGUAGUCC
rnacentral:rRNA from 1 species